rnacentral:misc_RNA from 1 species
AAGUCGUAACAAGGUUUCCGUAGGUGAACCUGCGGAAGGAUCAUUACAUUCAGUAGCCUAGCUACUUGUUUAUACCCUUGUUUUUUGCGUACCCUUGUUUUUUGCGUACCUAUUGUUUCCUCGGUGGGCUUGCCUGCCGGUUGGACAACACUAUAACCUUUUUAAAUCUUCAAUCAGCGUCUGAAUUAUACAUAAUAAUUACAACUUUCAACAACGGAUCUCUUGGUUCUG